rnacentral:rRNA from 1 species
AUUGAACGCUGGCGGCAGGCCUAACACAUGCAAGUCGAGCGGAUGAAGAGAGCUUGCUCUCUGAUUCAGCGGCGGACGGGUGAGUAAUGCCUAGGAAUCUGCCUGGUCGUGGGGGACAACGUUUCGAAAGGAACGCUAAUACCGCAUACGUCCUACGGGAGAAAGUGGGGGAUCUUCGGACCUCACGCUAAUAGAUGAGCCUAGGUCGGAUUAGCUAGUUGGUGGGGUAACGGCUCACCAAGGCGACGAUCCGUAGCUGGUCUGAGAGGAUGAUCAGUCACACUGGAACUGAGACACGGUCCAGACUCCUACGGGAGGCAGCAGUGGGGAAUAUUGGACAAUGGGCGAAAGCCUGAUCCAGCCAUGCCGCGUGUGUGAAGAAGGUCUUCGGAUUGUAAAGCACUUUAAGUUGGGAGGAAGGGUUGUAGAUUAAUACUCUGCAAUUUUGACGUUACCAACAGAAUAAGCACCGGCUAACUUCGUGCCAGCCGCCGCAGUAACAC